GGGACCCUUACUGCUGCAUAUCAAUGGGUGCCGUUCAAAUUCCCAGGGAUUAUUGGAGGGGGGAAAAAGAAGUGGGGGGGAGGAAGAGGAAGAAGAAAAAAAUAGGAUGUACGCUUCCCUCGGAUCGGUGACGACUGGUGCAGGGCGUUCACCGGCGCACGGAUCAGCUUCACAUCCAGCACCACGGGCAGCUCUCGGUGUAUUUCAGGACCAUGGAGAGUGCCUCUCCUCGCAGCUUUUCUUUUCUUUUUUUUUAAAGGGAGCUUCUCUGAACACUGACUGGACCCGAUCUUUCUAUACUGGAAAAAGUGAACCUACCUCUGCAACUUCUCUAAAAACAAAAAACAAAAAAAACCAGAGCUUUACACGCGUAAAGGGGCCUCCUGCACACCUGCGAUAAUUGGAGCAACACACCACUUUUUUUUGAUUCGCCACAAAGAAUCCAAAGCCUCCAUCAGUUUCUAACAAGGUUAGCUGAAUAUGGGACAAAGUAGGACACAUUUAGAGAAGAGCAGGAAUUGUGACACUUUUUUUUCCUUCCCCCCCUCAACCCCUCCACCCUCCACAUAUGACGCAUGUGGUGAGGUAAGUGUGGCAGAUGCCUACGUGUGCAGAUGGUCCAGUCUGCUGGUCCCUAUCCGCCCUGGGCUUGAUGUAACACCCAUGUACAUGCAAAAAGGCCCCAGAUGUGGUCGUGUGCUGUGCACGCCUGCUCCAUGGGCACACCACUAAAGACAAAAAAAAGCUCCCCAUUUUUUAAAACCCUUUUUCGUGAACUUGUUCUUUACUGGAGCAUGAAAUUGUAUGAUGUAGGCCUGCGCAUUGGAUGGAUUUACACUUGUAGUUUGGCUCCUUUGGUUGCAGGAUCUUUGUCGUUUCUAGACUGGAGUUGAGCCGGAUCUUGGUUUCUGAUGCAGAAUUUCUUUCUAAAAGGGUUUAUGAGCAAGACCUGAUGUGAACAAUUCACAUUUGCAAGUGUUAUGUUCAAGUAAGAGGUCAAAUGUAGGGGCCAGGUGAAUUUCUUAGAUUAAUUUAAUGAUCAAAAGGAGCUUUUAGACUACAUCGCAUCACUAGCUUUGACAUUAACUCUAUUUUCGUUCAUGAAAACUGUGAAAGUAUGGAACAAAGUAGGAGGUGUGGCAAGUCCUUCCCUGUAAUGUGAAUGUUUAUAUUCACCAUAGUAUUAUCUUUUAAAGUAUACAGCCUUACCAUUCCCAGAAAUGACAGUGAUAUGUCUUUUGUUUAGUCUGUUUGUUAUAAAAGGUGCAUUUUAUUAAUAAGAGCAGCAAUUUGUAACAAAUGUCCCUCACUCAAAGUUAGAACAGCAAUCUAAACCUCACAUAAAAGUGCACAGAAGACACCGAAAAAAGCUCCACUGAUCAAAACCUCAGACAUUUAAACAUAAACUGUGAAAUAAGGUACAGGAUGAUAGACAGAAAUUUGUGUUAAGCAGCAUUUUGUCACACUGUGUCAUUAAUAAAUGUAAAAAAAAAGAUUAUGAUAUGUAUGUAUAGUUCUUGUUAUCACCUCAUAUGAUUUGUAGCCUUCAGCAGUUUAGAGCUUCAGCAGGUGAUGGCUUUGAGGGCGAAUAUUUUGUUCUGAUAAAGGCGUGGCAAGGAAGGCUGUUUAGAGGAACUACCUGUAUGUCUGAAUGCACACAGUGAAAAAGAUGCAGCUACACAUUACAUGUUUCCUACCAUCUUCUUCGUGCUGACACAUAUGGAGGCUGUUUUCUGAUUGAGGCAGAUUAAUGUUUCAUAUUUCCUGAUUAUCCUGUGGAGCCUUUCGAACACACUUCUAGAGUCAUAUCAUGCUUUACUACAGCGUGUUCGGAUCCAAAUCUGGCAAAGGAAUCAUGUGAUUUGAUGGAGUGUACUUAGGGAUGUUAUUUUUGCAUGUCUGUGGUUUAAUUGCCUUAUACAACCUUUUAGAGCUUUUAUGUAGAUCAGUGGUUUUAACAUGGUCUCACAGUUCAGACAUGUUUGAAGUCGAUGAAGUGGAGUUUUGAAUUAUCUUGAAUGUCAGAGAUUUAUUACUGCUGCUCACAGUGGUGCUGAUUCCUGUGAGUGAAGGUGGAUAAAUGAUGGAAACAAUCAUUUACAGGUUAUUUUUACAUAUGUGAUGAAGAGCGAAUGGCUAGGUUUGCAAAAACAGUUCACCUAGAUCUCACACCACACUGGUGUGCAUCACGGCUGUGAUCAUUUCAGAUAGUUUGGGUGGGAUUUGGUGCAGUAUUUUAUCUAAACUACAGAUCAGUGAUUUUUCAGUAGAUAUAUUUACUAGCACUCCACCACGACAGAUAAGUUGAAGAAGUUCACAUAACUGGAGCUUAGUAUUUAAUUUCAGGAAACAAGCUACAUUAAAAUGUUCAAUUCAGACAUCCUGUUAGUGGGUGGAUACAUGAGCACCAAACUUCCUUCUGACAAACCGAAUUGAAAGGAAAAUGUUUUUGGAGGUAUUUUCUCUCAAUCUAAGGAAAACGCGUGGCAGUGCUCUUCUGAGUGAGAUCGUCUCGUGCCGCAGUCGCUGCAGAGUUAACAGAGGCUGAAUAUCUUGAAUGUGGUGAUGGUUUGGUGAGUCUGUAGCAGAUUAUGGGGUUUUAUCACCCAAAGAAGUUAAAAACUGGACUGGAUCAGCUCCCUGAAGUGCAAAGAGGUCAAUGUGACGCCAACACCGAAGUUUCCUCAGGUGAAAGGACCAGGUGAAGAUGCCAAGUUUGUAUCACUGUGGCCUGAUGGACCAAAGUGGAGAACAAGAUGGUUGCACACCUCUUUCAUCAUCACAAAGCUGUGACAAUGUUGCUCUUUUAAAAUGCACCAAAGACAUCAAAGACCAAACCAGGUUCGCAGUGACUGACACUUUCACUGUCUGUGUGGAGGACAUCUUCUUUCUCAGUAACAUGGGCUCCAUGUUGCUCAGACUGGACAUCACAAGCUUGCUUAACCUUUUAUUGUUGUAACAUCAGGAGCUCUUAAAUCUUCAGGAAAGAGCCGUCAAGAUGUUGCAUGUACAGCGUUCAUCAGAUCUCUCUGAGGGAAAAUGGCAGCUUCUUCUUUUUGUUCUUUCAGAGACAGAACAAAGGAAAUGGGAUCUGUGCUUCAUUAGAGGAGAUCCUCGAAGUCCUGCGCUGCUUAAGAAUGUUAUCAAGCAUGUUUCAGUCCUUAAGGCAGAUCGGGCUUCUGGUUGCAGACAGAGUCACAAUUUAUUCCACAUAUGAAAGAAUUUGGGAAAGCAGAGUGUGCGAUACUUCGUAAUGUUAAAAAAUGACCCAAAAAAGUCGGCAAAUAAAGUCUGAUUCCAGGAGAUGGUGCGUCUUAUUCACAAGCUGCAUAUGUGCGCGUUAGUAGGUCUUGAUGAUCUUUUAAAUCUAAAUAUUUUGGUGUAUAGUCCAGUCUGACGUAGAAAGUUUCUAUGUAAGUCAGCUGAAGUAUUCACUGAUCUUAUUUGAACAAAAAAAAUUUUAAAAAGGUGUUUCAAUUAAUCUCUAAACCUAGUGGCAGUGUCAAAUUUGCUUAAUAGAAUUCACCAGAAAUUGCAGUAUAUUCUGCAGGUGGGAAGGGAACUACAUUUACCUAUUUAAAAUGUGCAGUUACUCAGUCUAAACCUGUGAAAUGCAGAGUCAUGUCUGCACUGGAUGUUUACCAUGUUGCUGCUGGUGUAAACUGGAGGAAAAGAAGAAUAGAUUAAAAACAGGUGAAGUUUGGUGAAGUCCAAACCAAUGAUCAGCUGAAGGACUGUAACACACUUUGUUUAACUACAACAUGAGGUGAUUACUCUGCUGCAGAUAACAUUGUAUGUGUGCUGGAAAUUAUAUGGGUGUGAUCAGACAUCAAAGUUAAUACUGUGUUCAUUAACUAACUAAAAAUCUCAGUUUAACAUCCAGUUAAGAUGCUGCGUAAAUUCAGCUCUGCUGAAGUCUAAUUAACCCUGAAAAUUCUAAUCGAAUUCUAGCAUUUGUGUCUUUAUCAUUGAUUGUUUUUAGCAUGUCUGGUUAUAGUUUUAUCCCAUGUGUGUUUCAUUUUUAGAUCUAAAUCUUCAGUCAUAGAUUGAGGUCUCAAAUUAUUGACAUGCACUUGGAUGUGUAGAACAAAAUUUCAUUAAUUCUGAGGUGUGUGAACAUGUAACCAUAAAGCAGGGAGGCAAAAGGUGUUAGUUUACUGACCAUAACCUGGCGAUGAACUGAACUGCUGUUUGUUUAUCCAGACUUCUUCUGAUUUAAAAAUUAUUUUGCUGUUAAAGGGUACAAAUUGCAAAUGUUGUGUCUUUUUCAGGGAUUUUUGCACAAUAUAUUCAUAUAUUUAUAGGUAUAUUUAAGAAAGGCUGACAAGCAAAUGGAGAAAGAUUGUUAUUAAAAGAAUCGUUACGUAGAUGCAUACAUUUUAUGGUAUUAUGCAGAACUUCUUGAGGAAGGUGUGCCUUGGCUGUCUCUUAUAUUUGAAACUACCCACUUUAGAAAGUCACUGAAUGCACCAGAUGAGCUAAAGGUUCUUUUUCUUCUUCUACAGGUGCUGAUAAUGUUGACACAAGAUCCCAGGAUCCACCUUUUUGUCCUUUGUGGGUCUUUUUGCGGUCUGGGCUUGCUGUUCCUAAGGCAGUAGCCAGGAAGCCCUUACCCCAAAAAGUAUCUGCACUGGAUUCUGGCAGCUGAAAGCAGAAAUCUCACUUUCCGUCUCCCUGAUGGGGCAUCUCUCAUCUCUGGUGCUGAUUCAGAGUGAGGACACUGUUCAUUUGCAAGUUUCUUUAUGGUUCUUGACAAUCCGAGCUUGUCAAAGGCUAGUGUGGCUUGUGAAAUGCAAGAAUAUGAUUCUUUUUUGUAAACUGGAAGCCUUUGAGAAGCAUAAUACAGGAUAUGGCAGAAUAGACCAGAGCAGGUAACCUGAGAACAAUCCAAUUGGAAAGAAUCUUAUUAUAGUAAGAAACAGACAGCAGUUUUACUCAGCUCCACUCCGGAUUGAGAAGUGUAAAGCAACACUUCCUGAAGUCACUUAAUAUCAGAUUUGCUAUUUAGGAAAACACAGACAGGAUGAACCUUUGACAAUUUCAAUACACCAGGCAGUGUAGAUACGUUUUGAACAGACAAAAUAUACAAAUUCUUUCUAUAGGGGAACUGAGUUAAAAGUAGAUGCUGUUUCCAUAGAUUUGUGUGGGUGAAAAAGAAUCUCACUCUCGAAAUGAGGAUCUUGAAGUGUCACAGAAUCUCACACAACGGGUUAAGGGAGAGGAACCCCCUGAACAAAAGGCAAAAGACAGGAUUUGUACAUUUGUGACACGUUAUAUAGCUACAUGUAAGUUCUUUCUGCUCUGGAUAGUUGGGAGACCAAACCGGACAAUAGCCCCAGUGCGAUUUCUAACAUUUUGUACCUGCAAUGCAUGAGGAAAAUUCUGCAUUCCUUGUGUCAUAUGAUGCAAAUAUUGCUUUCUUUGCUUUAUGAAUGAAUGCACUUGGAUGUUACUCUAAAAUCUGCCAUUAAUACACUGUCUUCAUGCAUUUUUAAGUACAUUCUGUUGUCUAUUUUCAGUGAUUUUGCAUCAUCUUAGAUCCGCUUUUUUUUUUUUUUAAAGUGUGCUGUGUCGUAAUGAGCGUGAAUGUAAAGCAUGCGGACUACUACUAACAAUACGUUAUGUCAUAGGAGUAACUGUGUGUGAAAUCAAGCAGCAAAAAUAUGAAUGGAAUGUCAUCAGCAGGCCAGACAUUUAUAGAAGUGCCCCUAGAAACUACAUCAACAGGAUGUCGACAGCCAAUAAACACGCUGAGUAAAAUGGACGUGUAGCUUCAAGCCUUUGACGUACUCUGUGUUACAUAAAUAGGAUUAUUUAUCCAAACCCAUGAGCCUUCACAAUGUAGUUUUUGUACGCCAAAACCCGAGGCACUUUUUUGUGCGCUGACAAGGCCACUUUACUUAACUUCCAUCACUCAGGGAUGUCUGUACUGUACAUACAGUACACAACGAGUACAUGUGACGUCCUCUCCGGAGCACAUGUUGGAUGAUAUUAUGCAGAAGAAUUUGGCCCUCAUUGACCAUCCCUUUCCAUCUCAGCGUCUUUUUACACUUUCGUCUUUCCUAUUAUUGCCGCUUCUACUCAACAGCUUCUGUGCGGUCACACACGCUCAAUUUUUAUUCAUUUUAUUUAAAUUCACUUCCUCGCUUCACUCUAAAGCAGCUGCUGCUGUUUCCAUGAAUGUAAGGUGGACAUUUGCUCUCACAUGUUGUGCCUUGUUGCAUAAAACUGAAAUAAAAUUAAUAUUAAACACUG